rnacentral:pre_miRNA from 1 species
AAAGAGGAGGAACUUUAAAUUGGGAUAAAUUACUCUUAAAAAAAUUCUAGAUAGUUUUCCCUUCAAGCAUCUUCU